AUGACACAAGCUAGGACACGUAAGUUCCAAAACAACGCCAUCAGGGAGAGGAACAAUGCUAAGUGCGUAGCUGCCGAGUCCAAGAUGGACAUGGGUCUUCACCGGGACCCUAGCACGAAGAGAACCACAACGACGCCCUUAAGAGGAAAGCGGCACUCACAGGUGUCGCCGCCGUUUGCGCCAAAGUGUAGAGUUUUUGCUCGACAACUCAGCUCACUAGUGCCAUCACAAGGUACUCAUGAACCAAUACACACACAAGACUUCAGAUCGGGAUCUAGGUGUUGCCGCUGCCAACGACAACCGCGAGCUUGA
rnacentral:rRNA from 1 species